GAUGAACGCUGGCGGCGUGCCUAAUACAUGCAAGUCGAGCGAACAGACGAGGAGCUUGCUCCUCUGACGUUAGCGGCGGACGGGUGAGUAACACGUGGAUAACCUACCUAUAAGACUGGGAUAACUUCGGGAAACCGGAGCUAAUACCGGAUAAUAUAUUGAACCGCAUGGUUCAAUAGUGAAAGACGGUUUUGCUGUCACUUAUAGAUGGAUCCGCGCCGCAUUAGCUAGUUGGUAAGGUAACGGCUUACCAAGGCAACGAUGCGUAGCCGACCUGAGAGGGUGAUCGGCCACACUGGAACUGAGACACGGUCCAGACUCCUACGGGAGGCAGCAGUAGGGAAUCUUCCGCAAUGGGCGAAAGCCUGACGGAGCAACGCCGCGUGAGUGAUGAAGGUCUUCGGAUCGUAAAACUCUUUUAUUAGGGAAGAACAAAUGUGUAAGUAACUAUGCACGUCUUGACGGUACCUAAUCAGAAAGCCACGGCUAACUCCGUG
rnacentral:rRNA from 1 species